CGCAUUAGCCUCGUGCUUUUUCGACCCCCUCACACCUCUUUAGUGCUUUUCCUAAUACAGCAGAUUCUAAAUAACCUUGCAGUAUCAAUAAUAUCAUGACAAACACCGGCAAUCUCUAGAUGGCCAUGUGGGAAAUCCUUGAGAGCUUGGAUGAAAUUUAUGUUGUCUGUCUUCACGAGGACACUCUCUACCCCUUUCAGAUUAGCCUGUCUUAAGCCUAUAAGAACAACCAGUACUUCGACUUGAAGAGGAGUAUGCGCGCGAACCCGUUCCAUACCUUCGUAUUUUUCCCCCAAACCACACUCUAAAACCCACCUAACAGCUGCAUUCUUGUUACCAGACCUCUUAUUUAGCUUCCAAGCACCAUUUGUCACCAUCUGUCAUAAUAUUUUAAAUCAGUAUAUGCAAUGGCUUUAAUUUGGUUAUUUCCUGUUCUUCAUAUCCAAGUUUUGGCAGAACAAGGUUUUAGGUAUAAUGUAACUAAAGAAAAUGACUCGAUCUUGUAUAAUUGUAAAUAAUUGGUUGACUCAGAAUAGGUUAGGACUAACCCAAUUUACUUGAAGCUAUUCUUGACUUGAAGCUAGUUGUUGACUGGGUUGUUGCCACAAGCUUCCAUUUCCUUCAACUUUUUCCAAUAAAUGACACCUUUGUACAUGAAAUGUGGUGAGAUUCAUACCCUUACAGGUUAGUUUGAUAAGGUGCAUAACCUAAUUAUUCAGGUGCUUUUUUUUAAUUUAUCCGUGUGAGGUCCGUUUUUGCUCUAACAUUGAUGUUUUUUUGUUUUGGCAUUCUGAAUUUUUACUAUUCAUUGAAUUAGAUAUGCGAGUCAACUCUGUUUCCUUUUUAACCUGUUUUUAUUUUUCAAGGAAACACCAAGUCUGUUUUGUAAAAGUGAUUCUUAUCUCUAUCCUUGCAUCUCUCGGUCAGUAUUUGUAUUUGCAUUGCAUCCCUUGUAUUUGAGUUCAAGCACUUUUAGAAGAAGUUCCUGAAGAAUUAAGCAAGAGAUUGUGAAAGCAAAAGAAAGAUGAGAUUUAAAGGUGCACUCUCUUCAACCCUAAAUCCAUAUUCGAAGAGUCUGAAGCCUCAUUUUCUCUUGAUCAUGUAACGAGACAUUUGUUAAAUCAUGUUGGAGUAGAGAUUGAACAUCUUCAAGAUCCCCCUCCACAGAUAUUGUUGAUUCAAGUGUAAAUGGUAAAACGUGAUCCAGAGAUCAACAAGUUAUCUUGAAGUAAGCUAGCACGGGGAUAAGAUUUACUCGGUUAAUUAGUCCUAGUUAAUUAGGAAGUUAUUUUUAUUCUAGUUUUGGACUAUCUUGAUUAAUGUAUAAAAAAUCAUGCGAGGAAUUGUUUUUAUUUCAGCUUCAUUAGACGGUGCAAAUUAUUGUACGGAUGGUAUUAUCACUAUUUGUAUGCUACAUUAAAGCAGCUUUAUGAAAACAUAGUAUACUAAUAUUUAUAUU